ensembl:lncRNA
CCCCCUGUUUACAUCGUGCCAUCUUUGCCGUUGUGACUCAUGCGACUCGGCUGCGGAUUGCACUGGGCAAAAUCGGAUGGUCUCCUUCAGUCCCCUGCAGAGAGACAAACAUUUAUAAAAAUUGACUCAAAUAUUCAAGUCUUUUGAAUGUUUGAGGGACACUGACAUAUUCAAACUCAUCACAUCUUUCCACCCGUGUAAUGCAGAGGUAGAAAAAUAUACAGUACCAGUCAGAAGUUUGGACACACCUACUCAUUCAAAAGACUCGAAGGAGCUCCUAAAGUGCUGAGCUUCGUUCUGCAGUGCAACACAUCCUAAACCCACUGAAUUGGGUUGACGUCGGGUGAGUGUGGAGGCCAGGUCAUCUGAUGCAGCACCAUCCCUCUCCUUCUUGUUUAUAUAACCCUUACACAGCUUGGAGGUGUGUUUUGGGUCAUUGUCUUCGCCAUAAAAUGGACUACUACAGCACAGACCAUAAUGAUGGUGUUCUGUAUACCUACUCUACAUUGUCACCAUCUUUAUAGCUACCCUAACGCAUUUUACUUUUAACAAGGCACACCAGUUAAUUGAAAUGCAUUCCAGGCGACUACCUCAUGAAAACAUGUUGAGAGAAUGCAGUGUCAAGGCAAAGCGUGGCUACAGUAAAAUAAUCUACAAUAUUAAAUACAUUUUGAUCUGUUUAACGCUUUUAGGAUGCUACAUGAUUCCAUGUGCGUUAUUUUAUAGUUUUGAUGUCUUCACUGUUAUUCUACAAUGUGGAAACAGUCAAACUAAAGAAAUACUGCACCAUUCAGGAAUCCCUAUAGAACAUUUUGUUUGAAUGUAAUAUUUUGAAACGCCUUUUAUAAAUGUUGUAUUAUUGCACUGCUACACCCUGACCAGGUUUCCAAUUCAAAACAGUAGGCCUAGAGCUUCAAAUCUGGCAUGGUUGCUUCACUUUCAUUUCCCUAUAUGAUCUGCUGCUGAAAGCAUCCUGAUGGUGAAGGCUGGUACACGUAUGUUGCUGCCUCUCAAGGUUCCCACCAGAGGUCAGAGUUAACCCAGAUUCAACUCUGCCUUUAUAUUUUGUCAUUUAGCAGACAAUCAAAUCCAGAGUGAUUUACAGUUAGUAUAUUUUAAGAUAGCUAAGUGUGACAACCACACAACCCAGUAGUCAGUGUUAAUAGAAGAAUCCAGAUCAGCUCCACAACCAGGUGGACAUGGACAGGGACAACCAGGCAGGCAGUGCUGAGUGAGAGCAGGAAUCAUCAGGCAGCAGCUAGAUCAGCAACACAUCUUUGGACAGGAACAGCUAUCAGCCAUCAGUCUAGGUAGUCCUGAGGAGUGGUCCAGGGGCUAAUGUCCUCUUAAGAUUCAACACUAAGGGAGAGCAUUCCUUGGAUCCAAAAGGCUACACCAGCAAAUAUAAAGUUGUGACGCGGUGUAAAACGAAAAUAAAACAGAAUGCAAUGAUGUGCAAAUCCCUACAUUUAAUUGAAAAUUGUCCAAAGACAACAUAUAAAAUGUUGAAACUGAGAAAUUUUAUUUUUUGUGGAAAAAAAUAUGCCCAUUUUGAAUUUGAUGCCAGCAACACGUUUCAGACUAGCUGGGAUGGGGCAUGUUUACCACUGUGUUGCACCACCUGUUCUUUUAACAAUACUUUGGUUUGAU